GCCUAAAGGGGCCGUAGCCGGACCGAUGUGGCUCCCAUGAAAUCCACGGGCAUAACCCGUAGGCGCGCGGGGGCUACUAUCGGUCUUGGGGACAGGAGAAGCUAGGAGUAUCCCGGGGGGAGCGGUGAAAUGCUGUAAUCCCCGGAGGACUACCCCCGGCGAAAGCGCCUAGCUAUCCUGCUCCCGACGGUGAGGGCCGAAAGCUGGGGGAUCAAAUGGGGUUAGAGACCCCAGCAGCCCCUGCUGUCAACGCUGCGGGCUAUCUGCCGGGAGGGCUUAGAGCCCUUUCGGUGGAGUAGGGAAGCCGUUAAGCCCGCCGCCUGGGGAGUACGGCCGCAAGGCUGAAACUUAAAGGAAUAGGCGGGGGGGCAUACAAGGGGUGGGGUGUGCGGUUUAAUGGGAACUGACACCGGAAACC
rnacentral:rRNA from 1 species